rnacentral:lncRNA from 1 species
GUAAAACGCUUGCCGAAGUGGGGCGUCCGUUUGGCUGUGCGGGAUGUAUCAAGUUCGCAGUCACGUCCGGUCAGAAGGGGGACGUUAAAUCCGAUGCCUCGUGUAAGGAGAGUGCCACGCUCUUUGCACGUUAAGAACCCUUGCGACAACUCUUUGAGGGGUCCGUAGGUGGCCUGUUGCAAGGCAAAAUUUCUGUCCCUAUCCAAUAUACCCUCAUUUUCCAGUGGCAGUCCAAAUUUCCCCGACCAUCAUUCUAGAUGACCUCUAUUACAACAACCUACCUAUUGUAUUUAUUGUUAACUUGUUCUCGUCCUGAAUAUGCAUGAAAUAUUUGCCACUGGACGUUAAGCAACC